GACGAACGCUGGCGGCGUGCUUAACACAUGCAAGUCGAGCGGUAAGGCCCUUUCGGGGGUACGACGAGCGGCGAACGGGUGAGUAACACGUGGGUGACCUGCCCUCAGCUCUGGGAUAAGCCUGGGAAACCGGGUCUAAUACUGGAUAUGACUCCAUGACGCAUGUUGUGGGGUGGAAAGCCUUGUGCGGCUGAGGAUGGGCCCGCGGCCUAUCAGCUUGUUGGUGGGGUGANGGCCUACCAAAGGCGACGACGGGUAGCCGGCCUGAGAGGGCGACCGGCCACACUGGGACUGAGACACGGCCCAGACUCCUACGGGAGGCAGCAGUGGGGAAUCUUGCGCAAAUGGGCGAAAAGCCUGACGCAGCGACGCCGCGUGAGGGAUGACGGCCU
rnacentral:rRNA from 1 species